CCAGUUCACUCGGCAGCGGCGCCGGGCGGAGGGGGAGAGCGCGGGCCGCGCGGGCGGGAAGCGAAGAGGCGGGCGGGCCAGCGAGGAGCGCGGAGAGAAAAGGCGCGAGCGGCCAGGAGGGCUCAGGCCGAGACACCUUGCAGCUGCCGCCGCCGCCACCGAGCCGCCGCUGUGCUCACUGAUCCGCCUCCAGGGCCACCGCCAUGUCGAGCCGCGGUGGGAAGAAGAAGUCCACCAAGACGUCCAGGUCUGCCAAAGCAGGAGUCAUCUUUCCCGUGGGGCGGAUGCUGCGGUACAUCAAGAAAGGCCACCCCAAGUACAGGAUUGGAGUGGGGGCACCCGUGUACAUGGCCGCCGUCCUGGAAUACCUGACAGCGGAGAUUCUGGAGCUGGCUGGCAAUGCAGCGAGAGACAACAAGAAGGGACGGGUCACACCCCGGCACAUCCUGCUGGCUGUGGCCAAUGAUGAAGAGCUGAAUCAGCUGCUAAAAGGAGUCACCAUAGCCAGUGGGGGUGUGUUACCCAACAUCCACCCCGAGUUGCUAGCGAAGAAGCGGGGAUCCAAAGGAAAGUUGGAAGCCAUCAUCACACCACCCCCAGCCAAAAAGGCCAAGUCUCCAUCCCAGAAGAAGCCUGUAUCUAAAAAAGCAGGAGGCAAGAAAGGGGCCCGGAAAUCCAAGAAGAAGCAGGGUGAAGUCAGUAAGGCAGCCAGCGCCGACAGCACAACCGAGGGCACACCUGCCGACGGCUUCACAGUCCUCUCCACCAAGAGCCUCUUCCUUGGCCAGAAGCUGAACCUUAUUCACAGUGAAAUCAGUAAUUUAGCCGGCUUUGAGGUGGAGGCCAUAAUCAAUCCUACCAAUGCUGACAUUGACCUUAAAGAUGACCUAGGAAACACGCUGGAGAAGAAAGGUGGCAAGGAGUUUGUGGAAGCUGUCCUGGAACUCCGGAAAAAGAACGGGCCCUUGGAAGUAGCUGGAGCUGCUGUCAGCGCAGGCCAUGGCCUGCCUGCCAAGUUUGUGAUCCACUGUAAUAGUCCAGUUUGGGGUGCAGACAAGUGUGAAGAACUUCUGGAAAAGACAGUGAAAAACUGCUUGGCCCUGGCUGAUGAUAAGAAGCUGAAAUCCAUUGCAUUUCCAUCCAUCGGCAGCGGCAGCCGUCAAUUGCAAGCUCGCAAUCUGUCUGCUCCAGAAAAAUCUCCCUGGACUCCCAGGAUACAGCCUCUCCUGCUGUGACUCUCUGAGGUCCCUAAUGAGCUCCUAGCCUGGAUUUGCUGCAUACCUGCCUGGCCCCAGCCCUGGAAGGAACGGUUUUCCAAAGCAGACAGCAGCUCAGCUGAUUCUGAAGGCCAUCUCCAGUUACUUCGUGUCUACAAUGUCCUCUUCCAUCAAAACGGUGUACUUCGUGCUUUUUGACAGCGAGAGUAUAGGCAUCUAUGUGCAGGAAAUGGCCAAGCUGGACGCCAACUAGGCUGAGCAAUGACAGAACCAGCUGCACCAUGUACCCCACCUUCAGUUUAAAAGAAAAAAAAAAUCCCCUUCACUCCUACUGGGAGGUGGGACCCCUUUCAUUUUCAGUUUUGCUCAUCUAGGGAAAAUAAGGCUUUGGUUUCCAGUUUAAUUGUUUUUGACCUUCUAAAAUGUUUUUAUGUUAGCACUGAUAGUUGGCAUUACUGUUGUUAAGCACUGUGUUCCAGACCGUGUCUGACUUAGUGUAACCUAGGAGAUUUUAUAGUUUUAUUUUAAUGAAACCCUGAUUGACGCACAGCAGUGGGGAGAACAGCGUCUUUUACCUGUCACCGAAGCCAGGAAGCCCCGUUUGUAAGCGUGUGUUGUGGUGCUUUAUUGUACAUCCUCCAGUGGCGUUCUUUUUACUCUAAUGUUCUUUUGGUUUCCCCCCUCAGAAGAAUCAUGAAUUUGCAACAGACCUAAUUUUUGGUUACUUUUUGUCUUAUUGAUGGAUUUGAAAAUGAAAGAUUUAAUAAGGCAAAGCAGAAUCUGUUGUCCUUAAUUAUAUUUGCAAUUUGGAAUUUGUGUGAGUUGAUUUAGUAAAAUGUUAAACCGUU